rnacentral:rRNA from 1 species
UACAGAGGGUGCGAGCGUUAAUCGGAAUUACUGGGCGUAAAGCGUGCGUAGACGGCUAUCUAAGUCGGGUGUGAAAGCCCUGGGCUCAACCCAGGAAGUGCACUCGAUACUACAGAGCUCGAGUCCCGGAGAGGAAGGCGGAAUUCUCGGUGUAGAGGUGAAAUUCGUGGAUAUCGAGAGGAACACCUGUGGCGAAGGCGGCCUUCUGGACGGUGACUGACGCUGAGACGCGAAAGCGUGGGGAGCAAACAGG